GAAGCAGCUGGGAGCAUGAGUUCUGAGCGAGAGGAGUAUGACAUGGUCUGUCAGAAAGCUGUGACCCUAAUUGUUGACCUCUGCUUGCACAACAGCACUCUGCUGGACGAAGACACCUGUCAGGACUUCCUUUCCCUGCUGUCCAGCCAAGGCGCUGACCACAAAGACCAGGACGCCACUUUUGGCCUGUUGCUCUGUGUCUUUGUGGUUUGCGGCCUGGCGCUGCUCGGUCUCCUCACGUUCCUGUCCUGGAAGGUGUGCUGGAUCCCGUGGAGGAACAAGAGCCAUUACUCUGCUCCAUCUCUGACCCCGCCGUGUGUCCAAGAGUGCUCCCCCCUUCGGCCGACGCUUCCAACUCCGCCCAGCCCCCAGCAACCUCCGGCGGUCACCAUGGCGACGGAGAAAGUGAAGGAGCCCAUGGGCACGGUGGGUUUUCUGGAGGCAGCAGUGAAGAUCAGCCAUACAUCGCCAGACAUCCCGACUGAUGUUCAGCUCUCCAUGAGGGAGCACUUCCUUCGCCGCACACAGCGCAUGCAGAGGCAAACCACUGAACCAGCGUCUUCCACUCGCCACAGUUCCUUCAAGCGACACCUUCCCCGGCAGAUGCAGGUGGGAAGUCUUGACUUGGGAAACGACUAUCAUCUGGAAAAGGACGAAAAAUCCACCAGCAUCGGUCGAAUACAGCCAGAACUUUACCAACAGAAGGCGCUGGAGUCUGAGGAUUCGUCCAAGAACGGCAGAAGCAAAAACUGUGGCCGCAUCAACUUCUCACUGAAGUACGACUACGAGAAUGAGGCUCUGCUGGUCAACAUCCUCAGGGCGGUAGACCUCCCUGCCAAGGACUUGUGUGGCACGUCCGAUCCUUAUGUCAAGAUCUACCUUCUGCCUGAUCGCAAGAAGUUCCAGACCCGAGUCCACCGGAAGACGCUAAACCCAACGUUCGACGAGAGCUUCCAGUUUCCCGUGCCUUACGACGAGCUGGCGGUCAGGAAGCUCCAUAUGAGUGUGUUUGACUUUGACCGCUUUUCGCGACAUGAUAUGAUCGGGGAGGUGGUUCUGGACAACUUGUUUGAGAUGUCGGACCUCUCCAGGGAGACCAACAUUUGGAGAGACAUUGACUACGCCACCAGUGAGAGCGUGGACCUCGGGGAGAUCAUGUUCUCGCUUUGUUACCUGCCGACAGCCGGCCGUCUCACACUCACUGUCAUCAAGUGUCGGAACCUGAAGGCCAUGGACAUCACAGGAUACUCAGAUCCGUACGUCAAGGUGUCGCUCAUAUGUGAUGGGCGGCGCCUGAAGAAGAAGAAGACCAGCAUCAAGAAGAACACGCUGAACCCGACGUACAACGAGGCCAUCAUCUUCGACAUCCCGCCCGACAGCAUGGACCACGUCAGCCUGCACAUCUCAGUCAUGGACUACGACUUGGUCGGUCAUAAUGAGAUCAUCGGUGUGAUGCGGGUCGGAUGCCACGCCGAAGGACUCGGCAGAGACCACUGGAACGAAAUGUUAGCCUACCCUCGCAAACCCAUCGCUCACUGGCACCCCCUGCUGGAGUCAAAGAAGUCGGAGAAGGAGUGGAAGGCCAGGACUGCCAGCUUCGACAGCCAGGGCUCCUGCCCCUCGCCGCGGCCCCCCGCCAGCCCCUGAGUCACCUGUGACUCGCCAGCCCCAAAGGAGACUUCCUCCAUCCUGCUGAUACACUUCUUGUCUUGUCUGGUCGAGGAGAAACACAAGCCCCAUCGUCUCACUCUUUCUCACUCUCCCUUUCUACCCCUCCCUUCCUCAAGUCCGGACUGCGGCCAGUCCGUUAGCGUGUCCCGCAGAGUCUUGAGUCUUUGAUGGAGCAGCGCUGCCGUCUGUGUCUGAGGGCAGCUGGAGAUUCACUCUACUGACGUUUCCUGUGGAACCAAGGCCAGUGGAAGAUCCCACUGACUCUUGUCAUGAUGAAGAGAAGGAUGGAGCGGGUCACCUCAGAGACACGAGUCUGUACACUGGUGAGAGAAGUCAAGCUCACGGCUGGACUGACAUGACUGCUUCAUAACGCGCCUGCCGCGAACACUACUGGACAAACACGUCGCCCGGCUGCACUUUACGUUUCAGCUCCCUCUGUUUGUGUUAUGGAGAGACCUGAUAUAAUGAGACAUCUAAUAACUGUCUCCUACUGCAGCCGAGCACAGCGGCGUCCUGGGGCCAGAUGGGGAAACUGGAGCUUGUCAGGCAUUAAAACCCUAGAAUUACCAUAAUAAUUGUAUUACCUGAACAAGAUGAUCAUCAAAGCCAUGCUGUAAGAAAAUAGGUUCAAUAACACCCAGACAAAUGCAGAAAUUAUGACAGGAAUGACGGUAAAACUAGUGCGAAAAAGCAGAUCACUCUAGAACAAAUCUACAGCUGUGGUGUUUAGAAUAUAAUUGUGAUGCAAGAAUAUUGACUCGACCGCUGAAAAUAAAUUCAUGUGACUAUCCUCUGAACAUGCAAAAAUAAAACUCCGGGUUAUGACCACAGUAGAAAGAAAAAUCAUGGGUCAAAUUGUACUGUUGAUUCAUGGAGCAAUAUUACAUGAAAAAAUGAACCAUAUAUAGCCAUGGAUGAAAUGUUAGCCAUAGAUCUUACUGGACAACAAAAUAAAGAAAAUCAAAGUGUCAUAUAAUAGUAAUAAACUCUGGAAAAUUUUGUAACCUGAGCAGAUUAAAGUAAUAGAUGUACAAGACAACAAAUAAAAAGUCACACAUAGGAAUAUUAAUUCCUAAAUACGAAGCUAAUGUAGUGAGGACUAAGUGUAAUUACACAAUGAAAAUAGUUAAAGCACAACAAUUAACAUGAUGCAAGGUGAAUAAAUCAUUUGAAGUUGCUAUGAAGCCAGGAUGUUUGAAAGUUGAUUUUUAAUGAGAACAAAUGCGUGUUUUUUCAACUGGCCCCAACACCCUGACAAAAUAGAGGUAUGACAGGUUAAAAAACAGGUUAGUAAAAGAUGAUAGAUGAAGUUGCACCACAAAACAGCACAAAAAUUUUCACACGAUGUCAAGCUCUUCUUUGUUUGCUCUGAAGCGACAAGAGGUUUCAGACCUGCUUCUGCUCACGUAGGUUCCUUCCACAUCUGCAUUCAAUGUCUUUUUAUUUCAUGAUCUGUUGACAGAAAACUAAACCGUGGUACUGUGUAGCAACAGAAAUGAAUCCCGGCUGAUGGUCCCGUGAGAUGGUCCUCAAUGUUUGGACCUGUGUCAGAUUUUGAGCACAAACGGAACACAGCGUCCGAAACCCACGUUCAGCCGAUUCUACUGUAAAAGCUCCAAAAGGUCAUUGUGAAGUCUAUCAAGGUGUUUCUGAGCGUCUCCGGAUCUGCUGCGUUUAUAUUUCCAGGAAAAAGCCCAGCUGCUUUCAUUCAGCCAUCCUCCAUUAGCGUGAUCACACGCGCCUGUGGCCGAGGCUGCUGCAUUUAUUUCUGGACCAGGCCUGGUCUGACUGACAUUUCAGGCCUGGCGUUGGCUGGACUGCACCUGGCAGCUGCAGAUACCAUCAGGACAGGAAAUCUGAAACUUCAGCUUGAUAUCAUGGCAGGAAGAAAAGUAAUCCCAUUUGCUGUUUUCUCCAGGACAUUUCCUGUUUACAGAGCUGGUGACGGCCUGGUCUUUCUGCCGGAUGUGGCUGAACCCUGCUCAGCUGGUUUAGAAUGGCGGAGAGAAGAUCUGUAUGUGCUCACACCCCCCACUUGGUGGUGUCACUUGAAUUGUGUCUGCAGCUUCUUAGCUCAGUGUGACAAACAGUCAACACGUGGUCCAUUCUUGUCUCAGCUGGCUGGUCUAGUAUCAGUCCUGAACACAGCAUCCUUACUGUCACAUGUUUCUAAAGCGAGAGUCAAGUUUUAGAAAUGUGGUGAUGUUAUUUUCCACCAGAGGGCGCCCUUGUCCCUUAUCUGAAUCUUGUUUGUUUUGUGAAAACCCAGUCCUUAGACUCUGAAGAACCUGGACUGACGUACGAAUGGUUUUGUGCCAGUGCCCAGCUCCUCUCUGCUGUCAGCCCCUGCUCUGCUAUCUUCUCUCCUCCAAAGAAGUCACAGUGAGAGACUGAGCUGUCGGGACAGGAACACAGUAGUGGUGAGGGGCCGCGUCAGACCGUCGUGUCUCGGGUGAGUUCACAGAGAGCAAAGGCUGCUGUGGCGCGAGACAGAUACUGCAUUGUGGGGGGGGGUGAGCGGCAGUGGCGUCACAGCGGUGGCAUUUUCCCUAAUUGGCGUCUUGUUGUAGACUGAAUGAGUCAGAGCUUUAUUUUCUUCUUGACGUGGCCCACUGCGACGCUAGCGUCACCACUGGUUCUGAAAAAACAGUCCAGGCCAAGCUUAGUUAUCGUGAUUGAACACUUGACAUCAAGUUGUGUCUUGAGGUGUUAGGAUUUGGUUUUGAGAAUCAUCCUGUGAGUUUGUUCUGAACCUGAGUCAGCAGAAGAGUCUCUGACCAUCAUUGUUCAGGUAGAUACCUCUUCUAUCAGGUCCAUGUUUCAUCAUUCAUCAUUACAGACAAAACACAUUUCUGUCAAGAGUGUCAAAACGUUUGCAAAUUUGAUAAUCUAGAUCUGUUUAUUUGCUCUUUAUCAGUUCUCCCGAGGUCAUUCAGCCAUAUUUUAUUUUUAUUUUAACCUUUAGCAUAUUGUUGGUGACUUCAAACAUAUGGUCGUUUUAAGUUAUGAAUCCACGUUUCAGAAAAUUUUGUUAGACCCUAAAUAAUGUGUAGCAAAAAUGAUAAAUAAGAUGAAAAAUAGCAGUAUAAUGUUCCUUUCCGUUCUUUCAGUGUUUUAUUUCAAAAGUAAAGAUCACGAUAGUGCGAGGAAAUGUUGAUAUUGUUUAGUUUGAAUUUUCUCUCUUCACAGAUUCCUUUUUAUCAUGUGAUCUGUGUUUGAACUUUACCUUGACUUUGUCUGAGAAACUUCCAUGCAUUCGAUAGUGUAAACCAAGGUGUUGCGGUGCGAGUUUGUUCCCCUGUGGUCGGUGUGACUCUUAAGAGUGUAAUCUAAAGUGACGUCCCUCUCUCUUGUUUUAUCAGUGUGGUGUGUAGAUCCAGUUAGUUCUUCGGAGCCUCUGUCGACUUGUUCUCCCUCCAAUUGAAGCGGUUUUUCUAUGACACAUUUUGUAUUCGUGAGCGUAGACAUGUCUGAGAAACUGUUCUUGUAAUGACGCCAUGUUUUUGAUUCUAAAUGCUGAUAAAGCGAAUCUCUUUGUGUUGAAAAUAUCUCAGUAUUUACAGCACGUCCUCCACCUCUCUCCGCACAACCCAGAGCCGUUGUUGUUUUCUCCCACUGAGUGUGGCGUGUUAUCGGUUCUGUGACAUAUUUCUUUCUCUGAUUAAACGACUGUAGAAACGCUCCUGUGCUGCUGCGUUUGUGGCUGCCGACAGCCAGAGAGCUCACAAGCUCAUAGGAAAUGAGAUUUCUGUCUGGAAUGAAAUGAGGAGCGGAACCAGCCUCUGCAACGUUUCUGGAGAACCGCGAACAACCACUGGGGUAUCACUUCAUGAGCCACUUUAUUAGAUUCACUGCAAGAUCCUUAUGUAAGAGUGAAGUGAUGCUCCUGAAGAGAGAGGUUACUUGCUUGCAUACACUGCACCAUCCUGGUCAUCUCUCUGUCAGCCUCCUCUGCUGCUCCUGCCUCUGUCAAUCUGCAUAUUUUAGGAUGUAAAAGUCGCGUGUCCAGAGCAGUAUGCAGCAGGAGCCCCUGGAUGCUGACUCGUCACUCGGGGUGAGAAGCACUGACACCAUUUCUCAGGACGCUCCUUCCACAUCACAUUCUCUGGACACUGUCCCCGACCGUGGGCUCACCAGAGACACUGGAGUGCAGCUCCUGCCAGUCCUCCUCCUCUGCUCGACUCUGCUCAAGACCCCAGACCCCCUGCUCCACCACCUUGUCUGCCUUCUUGACACAGGCCCGAGGAGCGGUCUGGCUCUCCACGUAGUCCAUCUCCCGCUCCACCCGCUCCACCCGGACUGCGGCGCCGUCAAGCUCUUCCAGCAGCUUCUCGUGCUCCUUCUUCAGUGCCGCCAUGGCAUCAGAGCUCAGCUUCUGGAAGUCCAGCAGGUCAGUGUGGUAUCGGCGUGA